rnacentral:rRNA from 1 species
CAGCAGUGGGGAAUUUUGGACAAUGGGGGCAACCCUGAUCCAGCAAUGCCGCGUGAGUGAAGAAGGCCUUCGGGUUGUAAAGCUCUUUUGUCAGGGAAGAAACACCGGCUCUAACACAGUCCGGGAAUGACGGUACCUGAAGAAUAAGCACCGGCUAACUACCUC